rnacentral:snoRNA from 1 species
AACCUGUAAUGAACUACUUUAAUUCCUGACACCUCAUAUGAAAACUGCAUAUAUAGUCUGAUUAUUGUGCAAGACAGAGGCUU